CCGGUUGGGGCGGCUACCACAUCCACGCUGGGAGGGACGAUGACGGCGACCACAUCGGCGACCCAUUGGGACGGCUACCACACCCCUCCGUCAAGGGGACAUUGGAGAGUAUGGUGCAGGAGACCUGGGAGAACUUGAAUCAUCGCAUCUUGAACUGCUUCCUCCAGCAGCUCCAAAAAAGACAGAUGAACCAACCGGCGAUGAUGGACCACCGAGCAUACCUCCUCCGAGAAAGGCUUGUGGAUACUGCCCAACAUUUCCUUGGUAAGGAGCGCCAAGUUGCUGGUAGCUUGGUUGAUGCCCAGCCAUGAGUUGUUGGUAGCUUGGUUGAGGCCCAGCCAUGGGUUGCUGGUAGCUUCCUUGGCCUGAAAAAGGCAUGUAAUUCUGUGGGUGGUGAGGCUGGAAACCAUAGUGAUGUGGUGGAAAAUUCAUCUGAAAAUGGGGUGGUGGGUAAGCUGGGAUCUGCUGCUGUGCGAUAUCCUCUUUGUUUUGUGUAUUUGGUGUGGGAUUUGUGUUGAGCAGGUCAGUGAAGGGGGUUGAUGAAUUUUCCAUGGUUC